rnacentral:rRNA from 1 species
AAAAUAAAAAUUAAUAAAUAAAAAUUAAUAAAAAUAAUUUUAAUAUAAAAAUAUUUUAAUUGAGGGGUUAAAGUAUAAUUUAUAGAAAAAAUUGAAAUUUUUAUAAAAAAAUAGUAUUGUAAAAGAAAUUUGAAAUAAAUUAAAAUUAAAUUAAUUUUAAGUAGUAUUAAAUUUAUGUAUCUUGUGUAUCAGAGUUUAUAAAUAAAAUCUUAUUUAAUAUAAAUUUCUCGAAUUUUAAAAAGUUAAUUAAUUAAUAAAAUUAAUGUAAAAAAAUUAUUUUUAAUAAUUAAUUAAAAAUGAAAUGUUAAUUGUUUUAAAAUAUAUCUAGUUUUUUUAGAAAUAAAUUUAAUUUAUAAUUUAAAUUUAAAAUAAUUAUUUAUUUAAUUUAUUUUAUUUAAAUUUAAAUAUUAUAAGGGAUAAUCUUUUUAAUAGAAAUUUAUAAUAAAAAUAAUUAAUUUAAAAAUUAAUAAAAUUUAUAUUUUUUAAAAAAUUUAGUUUUUUAUAAAUAAUUUUUAAAAAAAUAAAAUUUUUAUUAAAUAUUUAGAUUUUUAUAAAAAAAAAUAUUUUAUUAAAAUAAAUAUUGUUAUAAUGAUAAAAUUAGUAUAUAAUUAAAAAUUAAAAAUUAAUAAUUAAAUUAAUUUUAUAAAAAAGAAUUCGACAAAAAUAUAUUUUUACCUGUUUAUCAAAAACAUGUCUUUUUGAAUUAAUUUAAAGUCCAUUCUGCCCACUGAGAAAUUAAAGGGCUGCAGUAUUUUAACUGUACAAAGGUAGCAUAAUCAAUAGUUUUUUAAUUGAAAACUUGUAUGAAAGAGUAGAUAAAAAAUAAAUUGUUUCUUUAUAAAAUAUAAAAUUUAAUUUUUUUGUUAAAAAGCAAAAAUUAAAUUAAAAGACGAGAAGACCCUAUAGAGUUUUAUUUUAUUUUAAAUUAAAAUUAUUUAUAAAUAUUAAAUUAAAAUUUAAAAUAAAAUUUUGUUGGGGUGAUAAAAAAAUUAAAAUAACUUUUUAAAUAAAAAACAUGAAUAAUUGAAUAAAUGAUCCAAAAAUUUUGAUUAUAAAAUUAAAUUACCUUAGGGAUAACAGCGUAAUUUUUUUUUUUAGUACUUAUAAAAAAAAAAGUUUGCGACCUCGAUGUUGGAUUAAGAUAAAAUAUAAAUGCAGAAGUUUAAAAUUUUGAUCUGUUCGAUCAUUAAAAUCUUACAUGAUCUGAGUUCAAACCGGUGUGAGCCAGGUUGGUUUCUAUCUUUAAUAAUAUUAAAUAUUUUAGUACGAAAGGAUUAAAUAUUUAAAAUAAUUUUUUAAUAAAUAAUAUUAUUAAGUUAAUUA